rnacentral:rRNA from 1 species
GACGAACCGUGCAAACGUUGUUCGGAUUCACUGGGCUUAAAGGGCGCGUAGGCGGGUUCUCAAGUCGGUGGUGAAAUCUUUCGGCCCAACCGGAAAAUCGCCUCCGAUACUGGGGAUCUUGAGGGAGGUAGGGGCAUGCGGAACUUCGGGUGGAGCGGUGAAAUGCGUAGAUAUCCGAAGGAACGCCGGUGGCGAAAGCGGCGUGCUGGACCUCUUCUGACGCUGAGGCGCGAAAGCCAGGGGAGCAAACGGG